AUCACUGUUGGCUAACCUAGGCAUUGGUCUCGACCUUGUCUGGAGGUGCCAUCAGUGCUGCGGAUCUAACCCUUGGCUUCGACCUUCACUCAAAGCAGACGGGAGAGUUUACCUUGUUUGUAGCCUCCUUCACUGGUGGUGAAUACGCCAUUGCAUAUAACAUGUGCACGGUACGUCCGUUGCCUGUUACUCUGAACAAACAGCGUGUCCAAAGCAACUGCCUUGUAUGGCUGAAUGCUCUAGCAUGGAAUAACAAUCUGCCGGCCUACGGGACUGGUAUUUUGUUGGUUUUCUUGGUCUCAUGAGGACAGCUCAGGGCGAGUCAUUCACUUGAGGUUCUUGAGUUUGACGCUUCCUGCUUCAGGCUCUCCCUCCUGUGGAGCUUGUCCCUUGCGGUGUUAAUGGGAACCUUCGGGGAGGUACGUACUGCAACGCUAGCGGUGAAAUGCUCAGACCGUUGCAAGGCGGACCAACGCGAAGGCAUUCCUCCAGAAUGUUUUCAUCAAAAAAGAACGAGAGUGUGGGGAUCGAAAAUGAUCAGAUACCAUUGUAGUCCAUACUGUAAACCAUGCCAGCUCGAGAUUGGGAGUGCGUUCACUUCAUGACCCUCCCAGUUUCUGCUUCCAUACCGAGAAAUCAAAGCCUAUGGGCUCUGGGGGGAGUAUGGUCGCAAGGCUGAAACUUAAAGGAAUUGGCGGAAUGACACAACAAGGCGUGGAGUAUGCGGCUUAAUUUGACCCAACACGCGGAAUCUUAUCAGGUCAGGACUCAGCCAGGAUUGACAGACUGAGAGCUCUUUCUUCAUUCUCGGAGUGGUAGUGCAUGGCCGUUUCCAGUUCGUGGUGUGAAUUGUCUACUUAAUUGUGCUAACGUACGAGAUCUCUGCCUCGAAAUACGUGCGGUCUCGCAUAUAGGUAGGGAGGCACCAGGGGUUUCCCCCGUCUCCCGAGAGACCAGUUUCACCUCUUAGAGGGACUGUGCACGUCUACAGUGCUCGGAAGGAGGAGGCCAUAGCAGGUCUGUGAUGCUCUUAGAUGUUCUGAGCUGCACGCGUCCUACACUGGUGCAGUGAGCGCGUUGUAUCUUCCUUGGGGGAGUCCUGCUCAGAGCUGAGUGCGGGAAAUCCUUUGAAUCUGCACCCGUGGUUGGGAUAGCUCCUUGCAAUUAUUGAACUUUAACGAGGAAUGCCUAGUAAUACCACUUCAUCAGAGUGGUCUGAUUGCGUCCCUGCCAUUUGCACACACCGCCCGUCGUUGCUACCGAUUGCGAAUUGGACAGAGGCUCUAGGAGGUGCACUGGGGAGGCUCCGGCCUCACUCAACAUGUAGCAAAUUUAGUCAAUGUCCUGUUCGCAGAGGAAGCAAAAGUCGUAACAAGGUU
rnacentral:rRNA from 1 species